rnacentral:lncRNA from 1 species
AGUACAUCGACAAUCCGCUCUGAGGCUGUUGGAGAUUCGAGACUGAAAGUGGAUGCGAUAGACAACAGCUACAGACACGAUUGAAAAGUAGUACAUCUUUUCCAUUUUACAAUGUCUUGAGAACAGCUCAGAGGUGAGGUACUGGUCAUGGCAUCCCAGAGGAUCACAGUGCCGAGACUGUCAGAGAGAAAGAAUCAGAGUCUGUAAGGAUUACGACUGACACACAAGCACCCAACGCAGCGGGCCAUGUUCAGGAGAAGUGAAUCGCGGAUGAAAAAGGGAGGAUAAAACUGCCUUUUCCUCGCACUGUCAGGCACAGAGGGAGAAGAGAGGGAAGAGAGGGAAGAGGGGGAAUGGGACAGGACAGAAAUGCGUUCGUCGGGGGGGAGGGGAGGAGAGGUAGAAGGCAGGCGUACACUUAAGAGAGCAGGAGAUUCAUUUAGCCAGAAUGGGCUGUCAGAUGUAGCGUGGUUUUAACACAGGAGGGUAGAUGAGGAUAGCCUCCAUGUUGGAUCUCUUUGCUGUGUUUAGCACCACAAGUGGGAUUUUCCACCACUCCCUCUGUUUCACAGAUGCUGCAUUUGAGGAACAGUAGAGCACAGCAAAGGCAGAUAGAGGUAGAUAAACAGCUGUGCUUGGAGGUUGUGUGGGGAAAUGUAUUGGUAUCACUUGCUUUGAGCUACCUGUGUGUAAUGUGUUACAUACAGGUGGUUCACAGACAAUGCUACCACAAUUCUCCCUUUCUUGUUCAUAGAGAAUGAGUUAAAAUUGUG